AUUCCACAGCUGAACGCAGGAGC
rnacentral:piRNA from 1 species